rnacentral:rRNA from 1 species
GACGAACGCUGGCGGCGUGCCUAAUACAUGCAAGUAGAACGCUGAAGCGAGGAGCUUGCUCUUCUUGGAUGAGUUGCGAACGGGUGAGUAACGCGUAGGUAACCUGCCUUGUAGCGGGGGAUAACUAUUGGAAACGAUAGCUAAUACCGCAUAACAAUGGAUGACACAUGUCAUUUAUUUGAAAGGGGCAAUUGCUCCACUACAAGAUGGACCUGCGUUGUAUUAGCUAGUAGGUGAGGUAAUGGCUCACCUAGGCGACGAUACAUAGCCGACCUGAGAGGGUGAUCGGCCACACUGGGACUGAGACACGGCCCAGACUCCUACGGGAGGCAGCAGUAGGGAAUCUUCGGCAAUGGGGGCAACCCUGACCGAGCAACGCCGCGUGAGUGAAGAAGGUUUUCGGAUCGUAAAGCUCUGUUGUAAGUCAAGAACGGGUGUGAGAGUGGAAAGUUCACACUGUGACGGUAGCUUACCAGAAAGUGACGGCUAACUACGUG